rnacentral:rRNA from 1 species
UACGAAGGGGGCUAGCGUUGCUCGGAAUCACUGGGCGUAAAGGGUGCGUAGGCGGGUUUUUAAGUCAGGGGUGAAAUCCUGGAGCUCAACUCCAGAACUGCCCUUGAUACUGGGGAUCUCGAGUCCGGAAGAGGUGAGUGGAACUCCGAGUGUAGAGGUGAAAUUCGUAGAUAUUCGGAAGAACACCAGUGGCGAAGGCGGCUCACUGGUCCGGUACUGACGCUGAGGUGCGAAAGCGUGGGGAGCAAACAGG